CAUGUAGGCGGCAUGACAAGUCUGGUGUGAAAUAUCUCGGCUCAACCGAGAAAACGCACUGGAAACUGUCAAGCUUGAGUAUCGGAGGGGAAGCUAGAAUUCCUGGUGUAGGGGUGAAAUCUGUAGAUAUCAGGAAGAAUACCGGUGGCGAAGGUGAGCUUCUGGCCAGAUACUGACGCUGAGAUGCGAAAGCGUGGGGAGCGAACAGGAUUAGAUACCCUGGUAGUCC
rnacentral:rRNA from 1 species